GAUAUUCCAGAGUAUGUUGAAUAGAGGACUGCAUUGCCAAGAUCCCAGACCGAUGAGACCAGAUGGAAAAAUGCAUCCAUUUUGACACGGCUCAUGCACACCAAGACUGGAAUGGACAUGUACAACGUAUCUUCAAGAACAACAGUUACCAAAGGCCUUAAAACUGAACAGGGCGCUAAGGACUCCACACCCAAAAUGUAACAGCUGCCUCUAUGCUACCUGCUCCCAGUUCUCCUGGCAUAGCGUACAUGUCGAAGAUGGACUCAGAAUAUGUACAG